GCUUCUUCCUGUAUGAUCACCAAAGUUAAGCAAUAUUGAGUCUGGUCAGUACCAAUAUGGGUUACCACUUGGGAAUACCAGGUGUUGUAAU